UGCAGGGAGGACGCCAUGUGCAACCGUGGGCAGAGGCCGGGCUGAUGGGUCUACAAGCCCAGGAAAGUCCGAGAUUGCCAGCAAAACACCAGAAGCUGGGGGGAGGCAUGGAGUGGGUUCUUAGAAGGAACCCACCCUGCAACACCUACAUCUCAGACUUCAGCCUCUGAAACUGUGAGACAUAAAAUUUUCGUGCUUUAACCCACCCAGUUUGUAGAAUUUGUUACACAGCCAUGGCAAACAAAUGCACCCAAUGUCUAAAAGUCCUUUGAUUAACGACUCACAGUUAUCCUUUGAAAAUUCCCAGAAUAAAAUGCAAAUGUCAAGACUCACAGGAGUCAAGAUUCAAACCUUUUGUGUAUUUUAAGCAUCCACAUUUCACUCUUUUUGUUAAAAUAAGAAGAACCAUUCCAGGUCCAACUGUCUUCUGCAGACCUUCUGUGUGGAAUCUUUUCCUGGAGUUGGAAUAGCAGACUUGGGGAUGGUGCUGUGGGUUUGUUUGGUUUAUUGUUGAAAUCCCAAGAAAGAACUUUCAUUUGCAGCUGACUUGGCUGAGCCGGUGGACAAGAUUUCAGGAAGGAACUAAGCUCUGAGCUUUACUGAUAGGCUGGUAUGGAAAACCUUUCUGGACUCCUUAAAUAUAUCCUUCAAGAUUUUGACAUUUCUCUGAUUGGAACUGACAAAUAGAUCUUGGUAGGCCAAAGGUUCCACCCUUCACUCUAAAGCUAAGUUGGAAUCUCACUCUGUUGCCCAGGCUGGAGUACAAUGGCAC
rnacentral:lncRNA from 1 species